CCUACGGGAGGCAGCAGUGAGGAAUAUUGGUCAAUGGGCGGAAGCCUGAACCAGCCAAGUAGCGUGCAGGAUGACGGCCCUACGGGUUGUAAACUUCUUUUAUACGGGAAUAACGCGCCUUACGCGUAGGGCUUUGCAUGUACCGUAUGAAUAAGGACCGGCUAAUUCCGUGCCAACAGCCCCGGUAAUACGGAAGGUUCGGGCGUUAUCCGGAUUUAUUGGGUUUAAAGGGAUCGUAGGCCGCAUGUCAAGCGUGCUGUGAAAUGUCCGGGCUCAACCCGGGCCUUGCAGUGCAAACUGGCGUGCUUGAGGGCGCGGAAAGCAGGCGGAAUUCGUGGUGUAGCGGUGAAAUGCUUAGAUAUGACGAAGAACCCCGAUUGCGAAGGAAGCUUGCUGCAGCGGAACUGACGCUGAUGCUCGAAAGUGCGGGUAUCGAACAGGAUUAGAUACCCGGGUAGUC
rnacentral:rRNA from 1 species